ACUCCUACGGGAGGCAGCAGUGGGGAAUAUUGCACAAUGGGCGCAAGCCUGAUGCAGCCAUGCCGCGUGUAUGAAGAAGGCCUUCGGGUUGUAAAGUACUUUCAGCGGGGAGGAAGGCGAUAAGGUUAAUAACCUUGUUGAUUGACGUUACCCGCAGAAGAAGCACCGGCUAACUCCGUGCCAGCAGCCGCGGUAAUACGGAGGGUGCAAGCGUUAAUCGGAAUUACUGGGCGUAAAGCGCACGCAGGCGGUCUGUCAAGUCGGAUGUGAAAUCCCCGGGCUCAACCUGGGAACUGCAUUCGAAACUGGCAGGCUAGAGUCUUGUAGAGGGGGGUAGAAUUCCAGGUGUAGCGGUGAAAUGCGUAGAGAUCUGGAGGAAUACCGGUGGCGAAGGCGGCCCCCUGGACAAAGACUGACGCUCAGGUGCGAAAGCGUGGGGAGCAAACAGGAUUAGAAACCCCGGUAGUCCCAUGA
rnacentral:rRNA from 1 species